GAUGAACGCUAGCGGCAGGCCUAAUACACGCAAGUCGAGCGGCACGUUGAGAAGGAAGUCGAGACCUAGAGCGGCGUACGGGUGCGUAACGCGUAUGCACCCUACCUCACACAGGGGGAUCGCCCGGAGAAAGGUGGAUUAAUACCCCCCAGUACAACGCGAGGGCAUCUGAGUGAUGUCAAAGAUUCAUCGGUAUGAGAUGGGCAUGCGUGUGAUGAGCUAGGUGGCGGUGUAACGGAACACCAAGGCGACGAGCAGUAGGGGUUCAGCGAGGAAGGUCCCCCACACUGGCACUGAGAUACGGGCCAGGAUCCUACGGGAGGCAACAGUAGUGAAUAUUGGGCAAUGGUCGGAAGACUGACCCAGCCAUGCCGCGUGCAGGAAGAAGGCGUUCUGCGUUGUAAACUGCUUUUAUCUGGGAAGAAAAGGCCCAUGCGUGGGACAUUGCCGGUACCAGAUGAAUAAGCACCGGCUAACUCCGUGCCAGCCGCCGCAGUAAAAC
rnacentral:rRNA from 1 species